UGUACCUAAUAUGCGAGUGUUUGGGUGUUAACCCAUACGCGUAAUGAAAGUGAACGCUGGUGAGAACCCUUAAGGGUGCAUCAUCGACCGAUCUUGAUGUCUUCGGAUGGAUUUGAGUAAGAGCAUAUUGGGUGCGACCCGAAAGAUGAUGAUCUAUACGUGAAUAGGGUGAAGCCAGAGGAAACUCUGGUGGAGGCUCGCAGCGGUUCUGACGUGCAAAUCGAUCGUCAAAUUUGCGUAUAGGGGCGAAAGACUAAUCGACUAGUAGCUGGUUCCUGCCGAAGUUUCCC
rnacentral:rRNA from 1 species